rnacentral:tRNA from 1 species
GGUCCGGUGGCAGAGUGGUUAUGCAGGGGCCUGCAAAGCCUCGUACGUCGGUUCGAUUCCGGCCCGGACCUCCA